UACGGGGGGAGCAAGCGUUGUUCGGAUUUACUGGGCGUAAAGGGCGCGUAGGCGGCCACUGCAAGUCGGUUGUGAAAUCUCCGGGCUUAACCCGGAAAGGUCAGCCGAUACUGCGGGCUAGAGUGCAGAAGGGGCAACUGGAAUUCUCGGUGUAGCGGUGAAAUGCGUAGAUAUCGAGAGGAACACCGGUGGCGAAGGCGGGUCUCUGGGCAGUAACUGACGCUGAGGAGCGAAAGCGUGGGGAGCGAACAGG
rnacentral:rRNA from 1 species